rfam:Culex pipiens quinquefasciatus supercont3.177 genomic scaffold, whole genome shotgun sequence.
GCAGGCUUGGCGGAAUGGUUACGCUGUUCGCUUUGUAAGCGGGUGAUCAUGGGUUCGAUUCCCAUCUGCA